GCGACCCCAGGUCUGGCGGGACUACCCGCUGAGUUUAAGCAUAUCAAUAAGCGGAGGA
rnacentral:rRNA from 1 species